UACGGGGGGGGCAAGCGUUGUUCGGAAUUACUGGGCGUAAAGGGCUCGUAGGUGGCCAACUAAGUCAGACGUGAAAUCCCUCAGCUUAACUGGGGAACUGCGUCUGAUACUGGAUGGCUUGAGUUUGGGAGAGGGAUGCGGAAUUCCAGGUGUAGCGGUGAAAUGCGUAGAGAUCCGGAGGAACACCAGUGGCGAAGGCGACACGCUGGGCCGUACCUGACACUGAUGCGCGACAGCAUGGGGAGCAAACAGG
rnacentral:rRNA from 1 species